rnacentral:rRNA from 1 species
AAGCGUUGUCCGGAAUUAUUGGGCGUAAAGCGCGCGCAGGCGGUUUCUUAAGUCUGAUGUGAAAGCCCCCGGCUCAACCGGGGAGGGUCAUUGGAAACUGGGGAACUUGAGUGCAGAAGAGGAGAGUGGAAUUCCACGUGUAGCGGUGAAAUGCGUAGAGAUGUGGAGGAACACCAGUGGCGAAGGCGACUCUCUGGUCUGUAACUGACGCUGAGGCGCGAAAGCGUGGGGAGCGAACAGGAUUAGAUACCCUGGUAGUCCACGCCGUAAACGAUGAGUGCUAAGUGUUAGAGGGUUUCCGCCCUUUAGUGCUGCAGCAAACGCAUUAAGCACUCCGCCUGGGGAGUACGGUCGCAAGACUGAAACUCAAAGGAAUUGACGGGGGCCCGCACAAGCGGUGGAGCAUGUGGUUUAAUUCGAAGCAACGCGAAGAACCUUACCAGGUCUUGACAUCCUCUGACAACCCUAGAGAUAGGGCUUCCCCUUCGGGGGCAGAGUGACAGGUGGUGCAUGGUUGUCGUCAGCUCGUGUCGUGAGAUGUUGGGUUAAGUCCCGCAACGAGCGCAACCCUUGAUCUUAGUUGCCAGCAUUCAGUUGGGCACUCUAAGGUGACUGCCGGUGACAAACCGGAGGAAGGUGGGGAUGACGUCAAAUCAUCAUGCCCCUUAUGACCUGGGCUACACACGUGCUACAAUGGGCAGAACAAAGGGCAGCGAAGCCGCGAGGCUAAGCCAAUCCCACAAAUCUGUUCUCAGUUCGGAUCGCAGUCUGCAACUCGNACUGCGUGAAGCUGGAAUCGCUAGUAAUCGCGAUCAGCAUGC